GACGAACGCUGGCGGCGUGCUUAACACAUGCAAGUCGAACGGAAAGGCCCUGCUUUUGUGGGGUGCUCGAGUGGCGAACGGGUGAGUAACACGUGAGUAACCUGCCCUUGACUUUGGGAUAACUUAAGGAAACUGGGGCUAAUACCGGAUAGGAGCUCAUGCUGCAUGGUGGGGGUUGGAAAGUUUCGGCGGUUGGGGAUGGACUCGCGGCUUAUCAGCUUGUUGGUGGGGUAGUGGCUUACCAAGGCUUUGACGGGUAGCCGGCCUGAGAGGGUGACCGGCCACAUUGGGACUGAGAUACGGCCCAGACUCCUACGGGAGGCAGCAGUGGGGAAUAUUGCACAAUGGGCGCAAGCCUGAUGCAGCAACGCCGCGUGCGGGAUGACGGCCUUCUGGUUGUAAACCGCUUUCGCCUGUGACGAAGCGUGAGUGACGGUAAUGGGUAAAGAAGCACCGGCUAACUACGUG
rnacentral:rRNA from 1 species